rnacentral:rRNA from 1 species
GUUGAACGCUGGCGGCAGGCCUAACACAUGCAAGUCGAAUGGUAACAGGAAACAGCUUGCUGUUUCGCUGACGAGUGGCGGACGGGUGAGUAAUGUCUGGGAAACUGCCUGAUGGAGGGGGAUAACUACUGGAAACGGUAGCUAAUACCGCAUAACGUCGCAAGACCAAAGAGGGGGACCUUCGGGCCUCUUGCCAUCAGAUGUGCCCAGAUGGGAUUAGCUAGUAGGUGGGGUAACGGCUCACCUAGGCGACGAUCCCUAGCUGGUCUGAGAGGAUGACCAGCCACACUGGAACUGAGACACGGUCCAGACUCCUACGGGAGGCAGCAGUGGGGAAUAUUGCACAAUGGGCGCAAGCCUGAUGCAGCCAUGCCGCGUGUAUGAAGAAGGCCUUCGGGUUGUAAAGUACUUUCAGCGGGGAGGAAGGGAGUAAAGUUAAUACCUUUGCUCAUUGACGUUACCCGCAGAAGAAGCACCGGCUAACUCCGUG